GUGAGUGAGUGACGGUCUCACCAGUUUCACACUGUCCAAAAAAACCCACUCAGGGUCUUCUGAGCAACUGCCCCCCCCUCCCCCUCGCCGACCCCUCACUAAAUCCACGAGUAUAACAUGAUGCUGAAAAAAAGGACUUUUUUUGUUCUUUGAAAGUGUUACAGCUUAGGUGUUUCUUUUAAAAAAAAGUAUUUUAAACUUUGUCCAAAAAGUCAUUUUUUGGGGGGAGACGCGAGGAGAGGGGAAACCCUACAUUAAAUACAAUACCAUACUUCAACAGACCCAGGGUCCCCUCUUCAAAUUGCAAGGGUUAAUUUCCCUUUUUUUUCUGACUAUCUAAUUGCCUCGCCCGUAAACAAUCCUCUCCGGAACAUUGAAACAUCCAAUUGUGGCUUCUUUUGACUUAGAAACAGAAAAAUCUGAAUAAGACACCAUUUGUUUUAAAAACAAAAAUUACAGAAUCAAAAUCUGAUUCUUGCCAACGACACAGUUCCGACGGACACCCCUCACAGGGAUCGGAAAAUGAUUCCAGAUUCACGCUGGGCACCCACAGUUCUUCUAACAUCUAGGCGGAAAGAGAAACGAGAACCUUGGAAUAUGACUGAGCUGUUGAAUGUUUAAUAGAUUCUGCCAUCGUGUCUCUCCAAAGUGAUGGUGAUACUUAAUGGCAUCUUCAACUCCUGCAGGUCAAGGUCCUACAUCUGGAGGGGGCACAAAGAAAGCAAGUUGCACGCAGCUGUCAGUAGCAAUUUUCUUGUUAGUGUUUAGCUGUUCUGACACUGGUUGAUGCAAAUAUUUCUCCGUUGUCCGUAACAGUGAGAGAAGGAAGCUCGGCAGAAGUUGCACUGAAAUUGGAAUGCUGUUUUGAAGUAUCAAGUUCUGCAAAGAGCUCAGUGAAUUUCUACAGUAAAGUAGCAGCUGAAAGUCAGUCACAAUAGUAUGAUAUUUAUGGAAGAACAUCAAAGGCAUUUAUAAUGUAAUUAUUGCAGGUUUACGGUGAGAUAAUCUACAACUGAUUACAUAAGAUCCUGACAUUCAUUAUAUGUACUGUAACAUGGUCAUUUGUCACAUACAUAUAUUACAAUAGAAACAUUAAAUGAGCCCAAUAGAAAUCAUGAUUUAUAUUAUACAUUCUGUUAUCCUUUUUAGAGGCAGAGGAUUAUAAAACCUACCAUCUACUGUUGAAUGGCAAUGGCAAAAACAAUGGAUAAAAUAUUUUAAUUGGUCAAGACUGUUUCAGAAGUCUAACGUAGUCAAAAUAAAAAGAAAACACACUGGACGAUUAAUAUGUGGAGUAAUGUAGCACAGGAAUGAGUCCAACACAGUAAGACCUGGGCAGUAUUCAGGCUUGGGCUGAUAAGUGAUCAGUAACAGUGCACCACACAAUUGUUUGGUCAAUGACCAUCUCCAACAUGAGAGAAUCUAAUCAUCUCCCCUUCACAGUCAAUGGCAUUAUCACUGCUGCAUAACCCAUUAAUGACAUCCUAUGGAUCAAACAGCAACUUAACCGAACCUGCUCGUUAAAUGCUAUGAUUACAAGAAGGGGGGAGAUAAUGCAUUCUGCUAAAGUCACUGCUCUCAUUUCAAUCUCACCAAGGGAGCUGAUGGAAUUCAAAUUCAGUUAAUAAAUCUGGAAGUGAUGGUGAAAUUGUAGCAAAAAUCCAUCUGAUUCACUGGUAACCUUUAGGGAAAGGAAAUCUACAAUUCUUACCUGGCCUGGUCAGGCCUCCAUGUGACUCCAUACCUACAACAAGUGGUUGACUAACUGCGCUCUGAACUGUCCAGAAAGCCACUCAGAUCAAAGGUAAUUAGGACUGGGCAACAAGUGCUGGACUUGCCAGUGAUGUCCAUGUCCAAUGAAAGAAUAAAAGAAAACAAAAAGGUGUAGGUUAGAGGCACAAGGGGUCAGGAGUCAACCUCUCCACUUGCUUGGAUGGGGAAAAUCCUAUAACACUCAAAAUGGUCAGCACCAUCCUGGAUAAAGCAGCCGAUUUACCACCUUAAACUGCCUCCACCACUCUAAGAUGCACUGCAGCAAGUCACCAUGCAUCCUUACACUGUACAUUGGAAACUGAUUACCACUACAAUCUAGAAGAACAAGGAUAGCAAGGUUCCAUCCAGGCCACCCAUCAUCCUGACUUGGAAAUAUAUCAUUGUUCCUUCAUUGUUGCUAGGUCAAAAUCCUGGACCUGCCUCUGUAACAGCAUUGUGGGUCAACCUACAACACAUGGACUGCAUUAGUUCUAGGUAGCAGCUCACCACAACUUUCUCAAAGGCAGCUAGGGGGCAGGCAACAAAUGCUGACCCUGCUAGGGGCUAGAAGCUGGAUUUAAGAUGAAAUUGAAUAUUGCUGUUGAGAGUGGUCUUCACCUGAGAUGGGGAUGAUGGGGAAAUUGAAUUGAAGACUAGCAUUUUGAAUUUGUGGUGAAGUUAAAGAUAAUAGUUACUAUCUUUCCAGUAUUGGUCAAAACUUCAGGUCAAACAGACCCUGGGCAAGUUGCACACCAUUACAAGUACAGUUGAUGGAUUCAGGGAGGUGAAAGUGAGGAGCAGAUGGUGCUGUUCAAUGCAUCUCGUAUGUUCAGGGAGAAUCAUCAACUCAGGGGCCUAUCAGUUCCAGUAUUCCACUACCAGUAUCAGGAUUCUAGUUAUACUACCACCACCUUGGGCCUGCAAGGGAACAAGCAAACCAAAUGCAACAUUGAAUGUGAAAUUGCUGCUAUACCACUAUGUCAUUGGACUCCAUUGCACAAUAUCCAGCCCAGAAACCUAUAACAUUCUAACAGGACUAGACAGGAUGUAGGUUUGCUCGCUGAGCUGGAAGGUUCAUU